UCGCAUUGGGAAUAUCGUGAAAACGCAAUUAAUUAAUUCAUCGCGAUUAUUAUAAUCUUUGUGUUAUUUUCCUAUCGCGACGUAAAGUACACGUCAUGUAUGUUUAAUAUCGAGUGUAAAGUGUCGUGUAAUCGCUGCGUUUUCUGGUAAUUAAAGUGCGUGAAAUCGUAAUUAACAACGCGAGUGACGCGUAUCGUGCGAGUGCUGCAGAACAACAGCAACGGGAAGGAGCAGGCUCGGGAUGGCAUCAGGUGAAGCAACCAUAAGGUACUACAACUCUGCUAUUGCGCAUCGUACCGCUUGAACGGAAAUUGUAGCUAUCGUCUCUCCUCUUCUUCAUACAUCCCGCGAAACUGAAGCAAAAUGUUGUACAUUCGGUCGACGUCAAAGAGGAACUUUUGACGAGAAAGCGGAUAAGUCAUAGCGCAGAAUGGCAUCUACUCGAGAAUUUAUACAAAUUAAUUAAAAGACGCGAGGUAAAAUGAUACCGGACUGUCUAAUUACUCGGGUGUGCUCGGGCAGCUUUGUCUACAAAAGAUGGAGGUUGAGAAGUGGCGACGACGUUGGAUCUUACGGGGCUGUACAACAGUCGAGACUAGACUGGCAGCGGCAAGGGGUUGCGGGGGAGGAGAUUUCAGGCCACACCGAGACAACCGGGGCUAAACAGCCAUCUAAAUGCAUCCGAGGUGGCGCUCACUGCCAUUACGGCUGAUGGACGCUUAUUGACGCACGCCCUGCCAGCUAAGGCAGAGCCUCCAGCAAGCCCUCCAGCAUCCCUCGAUGGAGCGCCCUUCUCUGUCUCUCGGUCUUGUUUCCUUUCUCCUCCUUACCUGUUUCCUUCCCAUUUGCUCGCUGUCUUUGCCCCAACGUCCGACUUGCCUUUUAUUGUGGCGAUAUCAAGAAAGCGCCGCGAAAGCUUAAAGCACGGUCGACUCUCUCCCCGACGUCCAAUCGCGAAUUUCGUCACCGUAAUUAUUCCAACGGACGAAAGCACUUUGGAUACUUUUAAUUAUUUUUAUACCGAUAAACACUGGAUCGGUUACGGCAAUUACACCGUGUAUUUUUUUACUCUGUUUAUAACAUUUGUUUCGAAAAAAAAUUUCACUUUUAAUCUUGGGAUCUUUAAAUCGCUGAAAUUUAAUUUAGCAUCGCAAAAGAAUUAACGCUAUAAAUUUCGAUAAGGAAAGAGCUUAUAAUUAGCAAAGAAGAUAAUGGCUGUGCUGCUUUCGCAUUACAUGUAUCUUACCUAUAUAGAUUAUAUCUGUGUUGAAAGUGCGUGUUUAACGCAUAUACGCACAUUGGUAAAGAUCAUAGCACGUAAUACCAAAGUUCGUUAAGCUAGUCAGCCUCUCUCAGAGAGAGUCGAGUAUCAUUCUGCAAAAUCCUUCGUUCCUACUGGCUGGUUCGCUACCGUCGACAGGGGGUUGCCACGAAGGCAGCUUCCGCGUGGCAGCUUCAGCCGAACCCUCGUACUUCCAUCGCCACGGCAGGAUUAUCGCGUUAUUUAUGCGGCAAUAAUAACGAGUUAGUAUAUGCGCGGGAUGUGCUUUAUAUCCACGCGAGCCAUUAGGGUUAAUAUAGCGCUAGAGUCUCUUUCUUUCUCUCUCCUUCAAGUUACAAACUCUCUUGUUCAACUUUAACCAUGUAUGUCACUUGUACAAAUCUUAACAUGUAUCAAAGACUCACGCAAGGAAUAUCUUUGAAUUAAAUAGACAAGUCAAGAUUACACGUAAAAAAAUUAAUUUUUUCUUAAAUUCAAUUUGAUAUUAUUUAUAUUUUAUAGUAUCACAUUAGUACAUUUAAAUAUUUUAAAACAAAAUAUUUAAAAUAUGAAUGUGCAAACGAAUUGUCAAUGAGCCCCUAUCUAAAAAGGUAUAUUAUACUCGAAAAUCUCAAAAUUGUUGCUUUCGUGAUUAGUUAUUGCAGCUACUAAAGCAUAUGAAUUUUGAGAGUUUGUGAAAAAAAUAAAGGUAAAGAAAGUUGAAGAAAGAAAACUGAAAAAUAUUCUCACCGUGCUUCAUAAGAAACUGUCAUUGCGGAGAUUACCUAUA